rnacentral:rRNA from 1 species
AGAGUUUGAUCCUGGCUCAGAUUGAACGCUGGCGGAAUGCUUUACACAUGCAAGUCGAACGGCAGCACGGGGGCAACCCUGGCGGCGAGUGGCGAACGGGUGAGUAAUACAUCGGAACGUGCCCAGUCGUGGGGGAUAACGUAGCGAAAGCUACGCUAAUACCGCAUACGAACUCUGGUUGAAAGCGGGGGAUCGCAAGACCUCGCGCGAUUGGAGCGGCCGAUGGCAGAUUAGGUAGUUGGUGGGGUAAAGGCUCACCAAGCCGACGAUCUGUAGCUGGUCUGAGAGGACGACCAGCCACACUGGGACUGAGACACGGCCCAGACUCCUACGGGAGGCAGCAGUGGGGAAUUUUGGACAAUGGGCGCAAGCCUGAUCCAGCCAUUCCGCGUGCAGGAUGAAGGCCCUCGGGUUGUAAACUGCUUUUGUACGGAACGAAAAGGCCUGGGUUAAUACCUCGGGCUCAUGACG